rnacentral:rRNA from 1 species
UAAUGUAAUGCCUACAACACCAAUGCAACGGAUCCCAUUAGAACUCUACAAAUCAGUGUGCUUGGGAUAGAGUAAUACUGGGAUGGGUGACCUCACAGGAAGUCCUAGAUUCUUACAUGCC